CAUCCCUCAGGGCUGGGGUUAUAAUGGUACCUGUGGUGCUUAGCCAGCUUGGCCUAGGGAACUUUCUUGUCCAAUCUGGACCAAGCCCUGAACUCUGUGCAGCCUGUGUCUAUUCUUGGUCACGCAUUUGAAAACUCCAGUUUUUGACUACCCAGUUUCCAAUAGAUUUUGAUGGAAGCCCGUGCUAUUUAAUCCCCAGGACGCCCCUAUGAGCUAGAUUCUUUUAUUAUCCUCAUCUUGGAGAUGAGGAGACUGCAAUUUGGAGAUCCUAUGUCUCCUGCCAAGGAUCACACACCCAUGCAAUGGAAAAAUUGGCGUUGAAGCCUAGUUCUGAGAACUUCAAGGGCUGUUUUCCUUCCACCAGGCUAUCCUGUACUGAACACAGUAAUUAUUUGUUACCUGCAGACACCACCAAUCACAGAACUGAAGAAAAAACCUGGAGUUGAAACAAAAGGGAAAAGCCUCAUUAUCCACAGUUCUACUUGUGUCUUCCUUCCUUGCUUCCUACCCAGCUCCCUCCCUGCUCCCAGUGGUUAGUUACAGGCCUUCCUUUUAUGACAUAACCACUGCCAAGCCACAGCUUCCUGUGUUUUGUCUUAUUACCCAGGGAAGAAAGUAGUGUCUGCUGGCCUGAUCUGUAACUCAGGCCAUAAUUACUUCUGAACUGUUAGGGUUCAGAGGGCUGGCUAAACAUCUCCAAGAAAUACCAGAACCUUCUGAUUCUGUCAUCCCUUGGCUGGAACUUAGAGACAAGAUGAAGACCUAAGCUGUGAAUAGCAUUAAAUCUUCAGGGAAUGAUCCUUCCUGGGCAAAAGGGAUGACGCCAAUUAAAAUGCCUAAUGGAAAUGUAUGAAAGAAGGUGGACACAGUGGCUCAUGCCUGUAAUUCUAGCACUUUGGGAGGCUGAGGCAGGCAGAUCACCUGAAGUUGGGAGUUCAAGUGCAGCCUGGCCAGCAUGGUGAAACCCCAUCUCUACUAAAAAUACAAAAAUUAGCCAGGCAUGAUGGCAGGUGCCUGUAAUCCUAGCUACUCAGGAGGCUGAGGUGGGAGAAUCACUUGAACCGGGGAGGAAGAGGUUGCAGUGAGCUGAGAUCAUGUCAUUGCACUCCAGCCUGGGUGACAGAGCAAAACUCUGCCUAAAGAAAAAAAAAAAGGAUAAAGUAUGUACUUAUUCAUAGCAACAUUAUUACAUCAUUCUGAAAUCUUUUGGAUUUUUGCCAUUAUAACUGAGAAAUAAUACCUAAAUAUAGCUUUAGUCUACAUUGCUCUUCUUAAGAAUAAAGUUGAGGCUUUUAUAUAUGUUUCAUGAAGUGUGUAUGUAUUUUCUUCUGUGAAUUCUUCAUAUCUUUUGUUCAGUUUUUCUGCUGGGGUUUUUAUGUGUUUCUGUCUAUGUCCAGGACCUAUUCUAGGGAGAUUAUCCCUCUGCUGUCACACAAAUUGCAAAUAUUUUCCUGACUCGUCAUUUAUCUGUUACUAUUUUAAUUAUUUGAUAAGUUAAAUUUGGCCUUGGUUGUA